GUUGUUGGGAAGGGGCCAGUGAUUUAGAAAUAUUUUCUAUGUUUUUAACAAGAACUUCUGCAGCCUACACCUACCAUGGACAAGGAGGCUGUGGUUGUUUGUGGUGCUGGAGUUUGAAGGUAGGACAGGACCCAGCAGAGACACAAAUGAGACAUUCCAAGUGAUAUCCACUGUCUCCUCAAACGACUUCCUCAGCCCUUAUGAGACCAUGUCCUGACUCUCAGAAUCAGCAUGCACAGAUGCCAAAACUUACGAAUAACGCCCUUUGGAGCAGUAACACUGGCCACCCUGGAGCAGCCUUGGAGUGCCUUGCUGGACAAGAAGGAGCAGAAUCCCAGUGGACUCAGGCAGGAAGCCCAUGGACAGCAUGCAGGACCGCCCCUGAAACACUGUCUGGUAUGGAUGAGGGUGCCUUACACAUUCCGGAGGUGACCUCUGG
rnacentral:lncRNA from 1 species